AGAAGCCAUCAGCCGCGGUCAACAUCACCUUCCUGAUUGAACAGAACCACGCGCUGUCUGUGUGGUUUACAAGUUUCUUGGCGAUAUGGGGGAAAAGUUCCUCACAUACCAACGGAAAAUGGGCGUCAUAUACAUGCUGCUGUCUCAUAAUAUGGCGAAGACGAGUCACCUGAAGGCCUAACUCGCCAUAGAAGACUGAAAGAAUUGUCCUGCAGGAUGCUGUGUCCUGCAAUCCUGUGUGCUGUGCUACAGACGCGUGUGGAGGUCAACCCAAAAUGGGCACAGUCUCACCACAGAAGAGUGA